GAUGAACGCUGGCGGCGUGCCUAAUACAUGCAAGUCGAGCGAACAGAUAAGGAGCUUGCUCCUUUGACGUUAGCGGCGGACGGGUGAGUAACACGUGGGUAACCUACCUAUAAGACUGGGAUAACUUCGGGAAACCGGAGCUAAUACCGGAUAAUAUUUCGAACCGCAUGGUUCGAUAGUGAAAGAUGGUUUUGCUAUCACUUAUAGAUGGACCCGCGCCGUAUUAGCUAGUUGGUAAGGUAACGGCUUACCAAGGCGACGAUACGUAGCCGACCUGAGAGGGUGAUCGGCCACACUGGAACUGAGACACGGUCCAGACUCCUACGGGAGGCAGCAGUAGGGAAUCUUCCGCAAUGGGCGAAAGCCUGACGGAGCAACGCCGCGUGAGUGAUGAAGGUCUUCGGAUCGUAAAACUCUGUUAUUAGGGAAGAACAUAGGUGUAAGUAACUGUGCACGUCUUGACGGUACCUAAUCAGAAAGCCACGGCUAACUACGUG
rnacentral:rRNA from 1 species